rnacentral:misc_RNA from 1 species
GAUGAAGAACGGAGCAAAAUGCGAUAAGUAAUGUGAAUUGCAGAAUUCAGUGAAUCAUCGAAUCUUUGAACGCACAUUGCGCCCGCCAGUAUUCUGGCGGGCAUGCCUGUUCGAGCGUCAUUUCAACCCUCAAGCUCAGCUUGGUGUUGGGACUCGCGGUAACCCGCGUUCCCCAAAUCGAUUGGCGUUCACGUCGAGCUUCCAUAGCGUAGUAAUCAUACACCUCGUUACUGGUAAUCGUCGCGGCCACGCCGUAAAACCCCAACUUCUGAAUGUUGACCUCGGAUCAGGUAGGAAUACCCGCUGAACUUAAGCAUAUCAAUAAGCGGAGGA